rnacentral:rRNA from 1 species
AACGCGAAGAACCUUACCUGGGCUCGAAAUGCAGGAGACCGGGGUAGAAAUAUCCCUUCCUCGCAAGAGGCUGCUGUAUAGGUGCUGCAUGGCUGUCGUCAGCUCGUGUCGUGAGAUGUUGGGUUAAGUCCCGCAACGAGCGCAACCCUCAUCCCUAGUUGCCACCGGGUAAUGCCGAGCACUCUAGUGAAACUGCCUGGGAUAACCAGGAGGAAGGUGGGGAUGACGUCAAGUCCUCAUGGCCUUUAUGUCCAGGGCUACACACGUGCUACAAUGGUCGGUACAAACCGUCGCAAACCCGUGAGGGGGAGCUAAUCGGAAAAAGCCGGCCUCAGUUCGGAUUGGAGUCUGCAACUCGACUCCAUGAAGCUGGAAUCGCUAGUAAUCGCGGAUCAGAACGCCGCGGUGAAUACGUUCCCGGGCCUUGUACACACCGACGCGUA